ensembl:snRNA U4 U4 spliceosomal RNA
AGCUUUGUGCAGUGGCAGUAUCGAAGCCAAUGAGGUUUAUCCAAGGCGCGAUUAUUGCUAAUUAUUGCUAAUUGAAAACAGAUCAAUAGCACAUAGGUCAUACACAAUAAAUGGAAGGGAAGACAAAGCCGCAUAGCAUACUGAUUUCC